AUUAUUUUAAUCACAUCCUCAAUGGAAGAACUUUACACUUAGAAAAGCAAUUUUAAAAAUAAAUUUUUGAAAAUGAGAACAGAAAACAAAAAAAUAAAUUAAAUUUUACUGAAAAAGGAAAUAUAUUUCUAUGUACAAAACAUUCACUUAAUAAAUUAGUAAAUUCAUUCCAUUCCAAUCGUAUAUCUUCACUUUGAUUAUUUUGUUAUAUGUUAUACCUUAACUUACUGGCUACAGCUCAGCUUCAUUUUCACUUUAGCAUCACAGUAACUUUUUCGACAUCCGACAAAAAAA